rnacentral:rRNA from 1 species
AGUGCCUUCGAUACUGGCUUCCUUGAGUGUGGAUGAAGUAGGCGGAAUUUGUGGUGUAGCGGUGAAAUGCUUAGAUAUCACGAGGAACUCCGAUUGCGCAGGCAGCUUACUAAACCACUACUGACGCUCAUGCACGAAGGCGUGGGGAUCAAACAGGAUUAGAUACCCUGGUAGUCCACGCAGUAAACGAUGAUUACUAGUUGUUUGCGAUACAAUGUAAGCGACUGAGCGAAAGCGUUAAGUAAUCCACCUGGGGAGUACGUUCGCAAGAAUGAAACUCAAAGGAAUUGACGGGGGCCCGCACAAGCGGAGGAACAUGUGGUUUAAUUCGAUGAUACGCGAGGAACCUUACCCGGGCUUGAAAUGCGACGGACCGGCGGGAGAGAUCUGUCUUCUCUUCGGCGGCCGCCGUGUAGGUGCUGCAUGGUUGUCGUCAGCUCGUGCCGUGAGGUGUCGGCUUAAGUGCCAUAACGAGCGCAACCCUCAUCAUUAGUUACUAACAGGUCAUGCUGAGGACUCUAGUGAGACUGCCAUCGUAAGAUGCGAGGAGGGUGGGGAUGACGUCUAAUCAGCACGGUCCUUUACGUGCGGGGACGACACACGUGUUUACAAUUGGGUGGGUAACAAAGGGCAUCUACGUGGGCGGACAGGAUGCCUAUUCUCCAAAAACACCUCCUCAGUCAGAGUCGGAGUCUGCCAGCUCGA